GCUCAUUAAAUCAGUUAUCGUUUAUUUGAUAGUACCUUACUACUUGGAUAACCGUGGUAAUUCUAGAGCUAAUACAUGCUAAAAACCCCGACUUCGGAAGGGGUGUAUUUAUUAGAUAAAAAACCAAUGCCCUUCGGGGCUCUUUGGUGAUUCAUGAUAACUUCUCAGAUCGCAUGGCCUUGCGCCGGCGACGGUUCAUUCAAAUUUCUGCCCUAUCAACUUUCGAUGGUAAGGUAUUGGCUUACCAUGGUUUCAACGGGUAACGGGGAAUUAGGGUUCGAUUCCGGAGAGGGAGCCUGAGAAACGGCUACCACAUCCAAGGAAGGCAGCAGGCGCGCAAAUUACCCAAUCCCGACACGGGGAGGUAGUGACAAUAAAUACUGAUACAGGGCUCUUUUGGGUCUUGUAAUUGGAAUGAGUACAAUUUAAACCUCUUAACGAGGAACAAUUGGAGGGCAAGUCUGGUGCCAGCAGCCGCGGUAAUUCCAGCUCCAAUAGCGUAUAUUAAAGUUGUUGCAGUUAAAAAGCUCGUAGUUGAACCUUGGGCCUGGCUGGCAGGUCCGCCUCACCGCGUGUACUUGACCGGCCGGGCCUUCUCUUCUGGAGAACCUCAUGCCCUUUACUGGGCGUGUUGGGGACCAGGACUUUUACUUUGAAAAAAUUAGAGUGUUCAAAGCAGGCCUUUGCUCGAAUAUGUUAGCAUGGAAUAAUGGAAUAGGACGUGCGGUCCUAUUUUGUUGGUUUCUAGGACCGCCGUAAUGAUUAAUAGGGACAGUCGGGGGCAUCAGUAUUCAAUUGUCAGAGGUGAAAUUCUUGGAUUUAUUGAAGACUAACUACUGCGAAAGCAUUUGCCAAGGAUGUUUUCAUUAAUCAGUGAACGAAAGUUAGGGGAUCGAAGACGAUCAGAUACCGUCGUAGUCUUAACCAUAAACUAUGCCGACUAGGGAUCGGGCGAUGUUUCAAUAUUGACUCGCUCGGCACCUUACGAGAAAUCAAAGUG
rnacentral:rRNA from 1 species